rnacentral:rRNA from 1 species
AUUGAACGCUGGCGGCAGGCCUAACACAUGCAAGUCGAGCGGAUGAAGGGAGCUUGCGCCUGGAUUCAGCGGCGGACGGGUGAGUAAUGCCUAGGAAUCUGCCUGGUAGAGGGGGAUAACGUCCGGAAACGGGCGCUAAUACCGCAUACGUUCUGAGGGAGAAAGUGGGGGAUCUUCGGACCUCACGCUAUCAGAUGAGCCUAGGUCGGAUUAGCUAGUUGGUGGGGUAAAGGCCUACCAAGGCGACGAUCCGUAACUGGUCUGAGAGGAUGAUCAGUCACACUGGAACUGAGACACGGUCCAGACUCCUACGGGAGGCAGCAGUGGGGAAUAUUGGACAAUGGGCGAAAGCCUGAUCCAGCCAUGCCGCGUGUGUGAAGAAGGUCUUCGGAUUGUAAAGCACUUUAAGUUGGGAGGAAGGGCAGUAAGUUAAUACCUUGCUGUUUUGACGUUACCAACAGAAUAAGCACCGGCUAACUUCGUG